GACGAACGCUGGCGGCGUGCCUAAUACAUGCAAGUCGAGCGAAUCAAAGGGAGCUUGCUCCCUGAGGUUAGCGGCGGACGGGUGAGUAACACGUGGGCAACCUGCCUAUAAGACUGGGAUAACUUCGGGAAACCGGAGCUAAUACCGGAUAAUUCUUUUCUACUCAUGUAGGAAAGCUGAAAGACGGUUUCGGCUGUCACGUAUCGAUGGGCCCGCGGCGCAUUAGCUAGUUGGUGAGGUAACGGCUCACCAAGGCGACGAUGCGUAGCCGACCUGAGAGGGUGAUCGGCCACACUGGGACUGAGACACGGCCCAGACUCCUACGGGAGGCAGCAGUAGGGAAUCUUCCGCAAUGGACGAAAGUCUGACGGAGCAACGCCGCGUGAGUGAUGAAGGUUUUCGGAUCGUAAAACUCUGUUGUUAGGGAAGAACUAGUACUAGAGUAACUGCUAGUACCUUGACGGUACCUAACCAGAAAGCCACGGCUAACUACGUGCCAGCCGCCGCCGUAACAC
rnacentral:rRNA from 1 species